ensembl:lncRNA
UUUUUUUUUUGAUAUUUUAUUGGGGUAUAGUUGAUUUACAAUGUAGCAUUAGCUUUAGGUUUACAGCAAAGGGCUUCAGCUACACAUACACACAUCCAUUCUAUGACUAUGUCUUCUAAAUAAUAAAUACAGUGUGCCAAAGAGCUAAUGCUGCACAUGAGAAGCAAAUACUGAAUUCUAUCUUUAUGACUAUUAUACCAAUUAGUCUGAGGCUUUGGGAUACAUUUUUCCUUUACACAUAACACUAGUUGCAGUAGACAAUUUCAGUUGCCAACACAAUAUAAAUGCCUACUUUUUUCUUGGCAGAAACCUGAUUUAGUUUGGGGCAUCAGUGUGCUCAAGUAAAAUUCUUCAAGUUCUCAUUUUCUCAUGAAGCCGGAGCAGGUGACACGACACAGUUCUGGCAUAUCAUGGUCAGGUGUAGGUAGAAGCAGACAUCCUUUCCCAAUUUAAUGGCAUAGUCUUACUUUUUGCCUGUUUUUCUUUACUUCCUUCCUAGACAGUCAACAUGAGGCUGCUGGGCCCUGCUAUGUAGUAAUCAUCUACCAAUGGCAAGAGCAGCUUGAGGGUAAGAGGCCCCAAUGGCCAGAGGGAAAGAGCCUGGAAUCUAAAGCACAUCCUUGAACCUCUGGAGUAUAUUAGCCCUACUUAUGGCCUAAUCUGACUUCUUAUAUUGUGAGACAAGUAAUUAUGCUUCCGUUCAGGCCACCGAAGUAAGAUCUUCUGUUACUUGCACACACAUUUCUAACUGCAAACUGGUUUUAAACAUAAUUCAGUACUGCUCUUAGCGAUAUUUUAGAACAUCAUAUACGCCCAGCUUUCUACCAAAGAGGAAAUUCAUGUAUAGGACAGGGGCUGAUCAACAUUCUCUGAGGCAUCAGAGUUCUAAAAUAUUAAGUUCUAAAAUAUUAUGUCUCUACAGUUGCAUAGCUAGUUGCGUUCUAGCUAUUGCAAUCAUAAUUUCUGAACCAUAAAGUGGAACAACCAGUUUGAAAAACUUUUGUGUGUUUUUUUAUAUGAGUGGGAGUCUGGGAGAUACAAUCUAGAUUCGAGGAGAACCUCAAAUUUCUGUAACACUUCUGUUGUUUAUGGUACUAGCAGAAACGUAUGAUUAAAACAUGAAUCACCCCAGAAAACUGCACAUUCUAAAAUAGUAGCAGAAUGACAAAGAGAUGCUGUCAGACUAGUGCUCAGGCUCAAUAUGGCAGUCAUUAAAUCUCUGUUUUUCAAAGACGCUAUUCCUUAACAAAUAAUAUACUUUUAUGAGACUUCAGAUUCCUUUAAAUGACUUAUUUUUUGCUGGAUAAAAGACAUGACUUUUUAAUAAUAAAAAGGACAUGCUUUUCUUAAAAUGUGUGCUCUAAACAGUACUUUUUAAACAUGGUCUACGUCAAAAAUCACUUGGGGUUUUUGCUAAGAAAUGGCAAAUUCAUCCUUGACACACUUUAGAUUUAUUUUAAAAAUCUCCAUUUCUAGGGGUGAGUUCAGGAUUCUGUUUUUAAAAUAAUUCGUUCUGUAUGAUUCUUGCACCUUCUUUCAUUUGAGGAGCUCUAUUGCAGUGGACACAGUAGAAUACUAAAUCUCUUGAUUUACAAUUUAGAGUUGACUUCUAGCAAUAUCUUUAAAUGCUUGGCAUAAAUGUUGGGACUCCCAUCAAACAUUCACACUCAAUUUCUUCCAUAUUUAAUUUUAAUGCUAAUGUCCCUACAAAGCAGAAGCCUAAUGUAUUAUCUUAUCUGAGAUAUUUGCAGCCAUGAUAUACUGUGGCAUAGUGAGAUAAGGUCCUUCAUUUAAAUCCAUAGGUUGUGUUGUUGCUAUUUUUUUAAAAUAGAUGAUUAUAUCCAAUAUAAUUUGGCUGAGUUAUAGAGGCAAGAACAUGAGCUAUCUGAAGACUGAAAGAGAAUUUUUUCAUUUAAUAAAUUUUAGUCUCACUAGUAACACAGAGCUUGCUUGAGAAGUAUCUUAGAGAUUGCAAAGCAAAGAAGUUUCAUUCCAACUGCUGCUACAAAUUGUGCACACACAAAAAAAUCAAAGGACUGAAAAAAUGAAAAUGAAAAAAUGAAAUCUACAAAUAUGUAGAGCAUACAUAGUAUACAUAGACUCUAGGUACUGUGAAUAUACAGUAGGGGAAAAAAUGCAGUUCUCUUUCUGUACAAACUUACUGCUUCAUUAAGUAAUAAAAUAAAAGAGUUAAUUAUAUCAGGCUAUAAAUGUUAUCAAAAUGUAAAAACUAAUAAAUUACAUGCAUAAUACUGCCUGUGUUGAGCAAAGGAAGAAAUUGAAAAUUCUAAUCAGGGGAUGGUUUAGGUUUAUAAAUCCAUUUUUUAAAAAAAUCUAGAGUAAAUCAGCAAAUAAGUCAGAACAACUGUGAAAAAAACUGAAAAAUUAUACUCUAUUAAAAAACAUAUUUUGUGACAGUUGCAUGUAAAGCAUGUAGAAAUAGAUAAUGGCAAACAUAUAAAACUGGUAAACUAUUUGAAAAUCAUAGGGAAAAGGUUCAUCUUCAUUGUAUCAAAAGGGAUAACACUUUUACAAGUGACAAAAGAUAACACUACCAGAUAUAGAUUUUCUGGUGUGAAUUAGAAAAUUUUUAAAAAGUCACCCCAUCACAAAUAUUUUCUUUGUCAUAUACUUGCUAUCCAUUUUUACAUUCCCACAAUAGAGAUGUAAAAACCUUACUCUGUGGUAAAAGGCUUUAUUUUCUUGAGAGGUUUCCAUAGAGCCUACCUAAAUCCCUCAGAAAUUAUGCCAUGUGAAAUUCAUUUUAUUACCACAAAUGCAUUUUUAAAUAUGACAGCAUAGCUCUAGAUAGUGAUGUUAACCAAAUUCUACCUCAAGUAGUAACUAAGUAGCUUGAGCAUCAAUAAGCAAUAGGAAGUUUCAUGAUAAUCUAUUCAAUUGUUCUUGAAUCAGCCUUGAAAAUGCAUUUUACUAUGUUACAUAUACCAUUAAUUGUGUCCAUGCUUUCUGAUUUGACACAAGAUGGUACAUCUUUGGGCAAAGAAUAACAAUGUUUUUUAAAAAGAUAACUAUGUUUCUUUAUUACUACUUUUAAUUAAAUUCCAUCUUAUUAAGCAAAAUAAAUGCUUUUAGGUUGAGAGUAAAAAAAAAUUUAUCCUUGAAAAGAGCAAUGAAGCUUAAACUUUUAAGAUUGCUAUAAGUUGAAUUUUGCUAUGAUCUUUUCUUCAUCUGAAAAACUGAAUACUACUGAAAAUAAUUUUGUCUGAAUCUAGACAUGGAUUGUUACAGCAUUUACAUGAUAGAACUAAAAUGAUGUGGACUUUUGCAUUUCAUUUAUUAAGUUCAAAAUAUCAAAUUGUGCCACGUGAUAUUAACAUAGUGAAUUGUGAUAUUAACAUGAUGAAUUACUCUUCAUGGUUAAUUUUUUAUUAUUUUCAAAAUAAAAAAUUAAAAGAAUCCCUGUUUAACAUAUAUGUUCAUACCAAAUCUAGUUAUUAACAUUUUGAAGUCUUCUAUCAUAAUAUGAAGAAGUAACAGACUUGAUGUUGCAGAGUGCUAUCUGGAAUUAUAAAAUGGUACAGUGACUUUCUCUAUCCAAUCCUCUUAUUUUUGGGUGGUGAAUGUGAGACCUCAAAGAGUUAAAUGACAUGUUCCCCGUCCCUAUUUAGUGGCAGCUCACAUUCUUAGCUGGGCAAUGGAAACCUGCUAGACCAGUUUUUAUUUGUGGCUAUUCUCAUUUUGCUAUUCAGCUAAUUUCUUUUUUUGACUAUGUAUGAAUUUUAGCCAUUAAUUAUCUACACAAAAUUAUCGGUAACACAAAGUAAGUUCAUGGAAAUUUUUAUAAGUAGCCAUAGAACUUAAAAGUUGGAUCUUUUUGGAAAUUUUAUUUUUGAAACACCAUAUUUUAAUGAGCUUUACUUACUUUUACUUGGAGCAGAAAAGAUUUAAGAAAAUUUAAAUUUCCAACAGGAAAAGAAAAAGCAUAUUUAGUAAUUCAGCAAUACUACAUGGAUAUAGAAGACACAAGUUAGAAGGCUAAAAUAGCCUUUUUUAAAAAAAUAUAUAUUUUUAAAAAUUAUUUACAAAGUUUAUCAUCACCUUCCAAAACAGAAAUUAGCCAUUUUAUUAAUGCACACACAAAAUCUAAACUUGUGGGAAGGAAUAUAUCCCCUAAGACCUAUGUGUUCUAUAAACAGUAAGUUGUUCUUAUAAAAACUCAACCUAUCAAAUGGUCAGAACCAUCGCUGGCAGCAACAGAAUCUUAUCACUGGAACUCAAAUUACUUGCCAACAUUUCCGAGGUUACUGGAGUGAAACCAUCUCAACAAAAGCAUGUUUUUCAUUAGGUUUGUAUUCUUGGAUCCUUUAUCUAUUAUAUAUGGACUUCCUUAAGAGACACAAGAAGUCAUAUGAGGCUUGUCUGAUAAAUGCACACAGAAUAACCAACUUCUUAUGGUUGGAAAUAGGUCCUUUUAAACAAGAAGCUACAUUUAAAAAAAAAUGUGCAGAUACAAUAAUUAUAACCAUUUCUUUCCUUUUGUAGUAGUACAAAGUGCAGAUUCAAAUAUAUUUAAUUUUAAUUCAAAAUCAACUGCUUUUGAAAUAGAAAAAAAUAAUCAGGGUUCUUUAAUUAAAAUUUCUUUUAAAUCAGAAAAACAACCAUGAAGAGCAUUAAAAUACCAGUACCUCACUAACAUUUCAAAAGGUGUUUUAUUCUUGUAAGAAAACGUAUCUUUUAAAGGAGUGACUUUCUAUUUCUUUGCCCCCUGAGAAAACCUCAGAGAGCAGAGAAUUAAACAAAGGUAGGCUUUAUAGGCACCAAAUUAGAAUAUAAAAUAAGCAUGUCUAAUUCACAUAUUACAAUGCCUUUUGAACAAAAAGCAACCCCCAAUCCACAGGACCAAAUAUCUUUACUUGAAGUCAUCACAGUAGUCACUGUGUAAACAUUAAAUCGUUAUUUCAAAAAUUAUAUCAUCACUAAAAGAAUCUGAAUUUUGCAAAAGUGUUCUACCCAAGUGUAAAAGUUCAUAAUGAUUUAAGCAUGCUAUUAUUCCAUCAAUUUAUGCUUUAUAAAAAGAAACAAGUUCUUCACCUGAAAAACAUUCAAAAAAUAGGAGAAAAAUCACGCAAAUAUAUUCACAAUUCUUCAACAGAUUAUUUCAUUGUUAAUACAACAUUUUGUAGUAAAUUCUACUUUAAAAUAGUGCUUUAUUGCUUAAUGUGAUAGUUGAAUCAAUGAAUAACGAUCCAAGGAAGUGAAAAUAUGAAAAUUAUAAGGAGUAUUUGUAAUUAAAAAUUAUAAUUUAUGUCUAAAUGAAAAUUGCAUUUCAUCAAAAUAAAACAUUUCACUUAUAGUGGUGGAUAUUUCCAUUUCAUUAGAAUAAUAAAAGUCUUCUUAAAACAAAUAAUAAUUAUAAAAUUUUCUGUUUAAAUUUUAGUUUCCCUUAACUGUCUCUUGAAAAUGUGUUUUUUAAUGAAUAAGAUUAAUUGCUAAAUUCUUUUGGUAUCUACAUAAACAAUUAUUUCAAAUGCCUCAUAUAAUUUUUUAAAAAGAUCUAUUCAGUUAAAACUUGUGAAUAAUCUACUAAUUAGGUCCUAUCCCCUAAUCAUGACUGUUUUUUACAUGAUAGAAGAAGAGAAUUUUUACAGCUAAUCAAAUAUAAAUUUUACUCUAUUCAUAUUUUCAAAAAAGUCAUUGUUGAGUUUACAUUUGAAUUGUAUACCUUUAAUUAUGUGAUUUUAAAAACAGAAAAAUAAAGAUUUUGUCUUUAAGAGUCUCUAUCAAGCCAACUAAAAUCUGAUUAUAUUUUCAUUAGUUCCUCAUAAAAUUUAUAGACCACUAAGAAGUAUAAAAUGGUUCAUAUCUGUAAUUAUUCAUAUUACAAAGCUAAUAAACCUAUAAGUUCCUCUAAAAGAUAGGUAAUACAAUAACUUAUGGUAUCACAAGAUAUUCUUGAAACCCAAACCCUAAAAGCAAUAUUCUCUAAGUAUUUAUUCUGGAUGUUUAAAAUCAUUUUUAUAAUUUUCUUAGGGAAGAUAAUUUCAUGGAAUGUAUAGAGGAGAAUGUUUCAGUCACUUUUUUAAAAAAGUGAUUUUUAUUUUUUCCAUCAUAGCUGGUUUACCGUGUUCUGUCACUUUUGAUAGCACCUCACAUGGUUAAACACAUUCACAAUAAAAAAACAUAAAUGAAAUGAAUGGAGGUCCUCUAAACCUCUUUUGUGUCCUGAUAAAUAUUUAUCCUUGCCCUUUGUGAUUAGGUCCAUUGCCUGCAGUCUCACCAAGGCAGAAGCUGGGAGGAACACCUCCAAAGGCUUCCAAAGACUUUGGUUGUGGAAUGGGUGUUUCUAUGCAGAAAACAUUUAAUUAAGAUCAUUUCUGAUUUUGAAUCUCCCCUUGUGCUGAUGAAAAGGAGAGCUAUAAGGAAGAAGAAGGGCCCCCCGCUGACUGUAAACAGGGUAGAACACGUACCCUGCAGCUCCAAAACAAGGAAACAUGGGCCCCCCUGCUGGCUAGCCAUGGGAGGAAGUGAUCUCCCACAGAUUUCAGAGAUAAGUGCAAGGAAGGGGUAUAGGUGGGAGAAACUUAGACCCUACAGAAAGAAGAGGAAAUGGAGCUAGACUAUUCAUCAAGGUUUAGUUCCACUGUUGGAUCACGAUGCAGUCAGAUUUCUGAGCACACAAUGGCUGGGACUUUAUAUGUCAGAAAUCUUGGCUGUUAAUAUUUCUAAAGGCCCGGGGAGGGUGCCCGCUAAUAAUCCACCAUGUUGGCAGCAGAAUGAUGUAUCAGUAGGCUGCUUUGGUGCAUGAGAUAAGGAUCAUUGUCUUGUCACUGCCUCACACUGAUGAUAAACUGCUUUAUUUUUAACUGAGUCCCAAACCAAAAAAAAAAAAAUCAUAAUAAGGCACUUUACAAAAUGGAGAUCUCUAAUAAAGAGAAUAGAAUGGAACUCACAUGUUUCAUUUGAAAGAAAAUGUUUGGUCGCCCAGAUAGUGGUUUUGAACUUGACUGUUUUUAGGGAAAUUAGAGUGGUGAUUUUAGGGAAACCCUGACUCACCC